rnacentral:rRNA from 1 species
ACUCCUACGGGAGGCAGCAGUAGGGAAUCUUCCACAAUGGGCGCAAGCCUGAUGGAGCAACACCGCGUGAGUGAAGAAGGGUUUCGGCUCGUAAAGCUCUGUUGUUAAAGAAGAACACGUAUGAGAGUAACUGUUCAUACGUUGACGGUAUUUAACCAGAAAGUCACGGCUAACUACGUGCCAGCAGCCGCGGUAAUACGUAGGUGGCAAGCGUUAUCCGGAUUUAUUGGGCGUAAAGAGAGUGCAGGCGGUUUUCUAAGUCUGAUGUGAAAGCCUUCGGCUUAACCGGAGAAGUGCAUCGGAAACUGGAUAACUUGAGUGCAGAAGAGGGUAGUGGAACUCCAUGUGUAGCGGUGGAAUGCGUAGAUAUAUGGAAGAACACCAGUGGCGAAGGCGGCUACCUGGUCUGCAACUGAUGCUGAGACUCGAAAGCAU